AGCCCCGUGGUGUACCCACAUCAGAUUGCAAACCUGAAGAUGCGCGCUCACCCGCGCCGGGGCUU
rnacentral:tRNA from 1 species